rnacentral:sRNA from 1 species
UGAUGACAUCUCGACCGUGUUGAGUAA